rnacentral:ncRNA from 1 species
UCAAAUGCAAUGAUAAAGAAGAGUAGAUUAUAUUUGUGCUUAAGCGAGUCUCGAUUUGGUGUGAGGAGAUAGUGCAAAUAUUGUUGAAAAUCACUUUUGAGCACAUGUUGACUGAAGACAUGCUGGGUACACCCAUUAUAGUGGAAGCGUAUCGCAAUAUUAUUUGCUGUACGUGAUAAAAGGUUUUACAUAGAUGUGUGUAGACAAAUCUAGGGUGGUACCGUGCUUUAAUUUGCGCCCCUUAA